rnacentral:rRNA from 1 species
GAUGAGUGCUAAGUGUUGGGGGUUUCCGCCCUCAGUGCUGCAGCUAACGCAUUAAGCGCCCCGCCUCGGGGAGUACGGCCGCAAGGCUAAAACUCAAAGGAAUUGACGGGGGCCCGCACAAGCGGCGGAGCAUGCGGAUUAAUUCGAUGCAACGCGAAGAACCUUACCAAGGCUUGACAUAUACGAGAACGCUCUAGAAAUAGAGAACUCUUUGGACACUCGUAUACAGGUGGUGCAUGGUUGUCGUCAGCUCGUGUCGUGAGAUGUUGGGUUAAGUCCCGCAACGAGCGCAACCCUCGUCGUAUGUUGCCAGCACGUAAUGGUGGGAACUCAUAUGAGACUGCCGGGGUCAACUCGGAGGAAGGUGGGGAUGACGUCAAAUCAUCAUGCCCCUUAUGUCUUGGGCUUCACGCAUGCUACAAUGGCCGGUACAAUGGGCUGCAAUACCGCAAGGUGGAGCGAAUCCCAAAAAGCCGGUCUCAGUUCGGGUCGACGCGGCCG